rnacentral:rRNA from 1 species
UGCGCAGCUACCAUGCAGUCGAGCGGAACGAGUUAUCUGAACCUUCGGGGAACGAUAGCGGCGUCGAGCGGCGGACGGGUGAGUAAUGCCUAGGAAAUUGCCCUGAUGUGGGGGAUAACCAUUGGAAACGAUGGCUAAUACCGCAUGAUGCCUACGGGCCAAAGAGGGGGACCUUCGGGCCUCUCGCGUCAGGAUAUGCCUAGGUGGGAUUAGCUAGUUGGUGAGGUAAGGGCUCACCAAGGCGACGAUCCCUAGCUGGUCUGAGAGGAUGAUCAGCCACACUGGAACUGAGACACGGUCCAGACUCCUACGGGAGGCAGCAGUGGGGAAUAUUGCACAAUGGGCGCAAGCCUGAUGCAGCCAUGCCGCGUGUGUGAAGAAGGCCUUCGGGUUGUAAAGCACUUUCAGUCGUGAGGAAGGUAGUGUAGUUAAUAGCUGCAUUAUUUGACGUUAGCGACAGAAGAAGCACCGGCUAACUCCGUGCCAGCAGCCGCGGUAAUACGGAGGGUGCGAGCGUUAAUCGGAAUUACUGGGCGUAAAGCGCAUGCAGGUGGUUUGUUAAGUCAGAUGUGAAAGCCCGGGGCUCAACCCUCGGAAUUGCAUUUGAAACUGGCAGACUAGAGUACUGUAGAGGGGGGUAGAAUUUCAGUGUAGCGGGUGAAAUGCGUAGAGAUCUGAAGGAAUACCGGUGGCGAAGGCGGCCCCUGACAAGAUACUGAACACUCAGAUGCGAAAGCGGUGGGGAGCAAACAGA